AAUUAUUUUUUAAAAAAACUUUGGCCUUUGGGGCAUUAUUUAAAUUGGACUGCUAUUUAAAAGCAUAAUUUCUGGGGCUGUUCAACUUUCUAAUUAACUUUAAAGUUAAUUCUGCUUUUGUAUAUAAAAAUGUUUCCCACUGUCAUUAGGAAAAUUACCAAGGAGUUUCUUAUCAUAUUUAUCUACAUGCUUGUCAGUUACCAAUCCCCCGAAGCAGCCCCUUUCCAUGGCCAUAGCAUUCAUAGUCCAGUUUGAUGAUCUCCCUGCCACAUUUACAUUUUUAGUAGGAAGCUCUUGAAAACCUGACCAUUGUCAAAAUCUGAGUACGGAGACUUCAGUCAGUGUGACAGAUGGUAGAAAGAAAUAUUUAUAUGGAGGCUGUGGGUGGGAGAGAAGACACUUCCCAACUGUUGCUAAUAAUUAAACUUGCAGUAGCUGCCGGUGGGCCACACAGGCACAAACCUGGCAAAGUCUCCAUCAGUCCUGAUGGGUUUUCCUUACAGCCAACAGCUGUAGGCCAUUAGUUACUCUUUGGGGCCCCAGGAUUCUUCUCGGAUGGCUCGGUCUCCCUCACAGCCUCCCCCAGGAAGGAGGCUUGGUUCUCCCAGGAGAAUUGCAGCUGAGAAGGACAGCACUAAGCUGGCUUUCAGAGAGGUGGGGCAGCAGAUUGAUGAGCCCCUCAGUGUAGACCCUGGUCGGCUCUGCCGGUGUUGGAAACACUGCCACCUGCUGGACCCUUUGAGAAUGUCAGCAGGCCCUGCCCUUCAAACCCAGUCGCAAACUUGACUGGUGCCAGCGUCAGCAACUCAGCCACCAGAGUCGGGGUGCACGGGACCCAAGACCUGUGGCUGCCAGUUGCUCGAGGGAGAGAUUAGUCGAGCCAGAAUAUUGGCCAGAAUAUAGACAUAAUUAGACAUAGUUUUUAACAUUUAAGAGAACUGUAUUAAAUUCCAGGACUUGCCUCUUGAAAUGAUCUCAUUCUAUGAUUAUGUUACCUCCAUUGGGCUUCCCUGGUGGCUUAGGCCAUGAAGAAUCUGACUCGGGUCUGAUCCCUAAAGAAGGAAAUGACUACCCACUCCAGUAUUCUUGCCUGGAGAAUUCCAUGGACAGAGGAGCCUGACAGGCUACAGUCCAUGGGAUCACAAAGAGUCGGACAAGACUGAGCGAUUAACUUUCACUUUCACUUUGUCAUUCGCUGAAGGAUUUGGGAACAGAAAGGUCAAGACCUCCUCUGUCCUCUGUAGAUCUUCAGGCCCUGAUUUGAAAUGAUGUGUGUGCUCAGCCCUAGACUUUCAAGGCAGCUUCAAGUGAGAUAUGUUCUGACCAGAUUCCAGCCUCCAGUCCCUGUUCCCAGCCCUUCACCAGAGCCGUCGGGAAAAAUGUUUCCCCGAGCACGAAUCCUCUGAAAGGAAAAGGCCUGUGAGUCUCCUGGGAAAGAAUAUGAGACCCCACCGUGAGGAUUUGCCGUAGAAUUUCGCUGCAUUCCUCUGCGGGACUGGGCUGUCUAGGAAGUUCAUUUUGAUUUAAAAAUAUAUCAGAAUGGGAAUGUGUUUGUGUGAGUAGGCGUGUGAAACAGAUUUGAAAAAAAGACAGGCAAAAAUAAAGUGGGGAGAUAAGGAGAGAGGUCAAAGGCAAAUAGUUCUUUCCUUCUAAAAGGAUCUCUUCAGAGUGCUUGGAUUUUUUAUUAUGGAAAUACUCAAAACAUUCAAAACUAGAGAAAAUAGUCUAAUGAACCACUGGGUGCCCCUCAUCCCGCUUCAACAAUUAUCAACAUUGCCAACCUUUAUCACUUAUCUGCUCCUCUUCUUUUUUUGUACUAGAGCUGGGCCUGGCCAAAUCCAUGGCCAAAACCAACUUGCCUCUUGUUUUUCAGGGGAAAGAAAAAAAGGUUUACUGGAACACAGCCAUUCCCAAUGGUUUCUAUUGUCUAUACCUGUGUUCACAUCCCAGCAGCAGAGGUGAAUAGUUGUGACAGAAAUCGUGUGACCCACGUGCCUGAAAUAUUUCUUGUCUGGUCUUUCACAGAAAAUAUUUACACACGCACUCAGCCCUGUGCACAUGCAUGCCUGCUCAGUCAUGUCCUACCGUUUGCAGCCCCAUGCACUGAAGCCCACCAGGCUUCUCUGUCCAUGGGAUUCUCCAGGCAAGAACACCGGAGUGGGUGGGCAUGCCCUUCUCCAGGGGAUCUUUCCCACCCAGGGAUCAAACCCAGGUCCGUAGCACUGCAGGCAGAUUCUUUACUGUCUGAGCCGUCUCUUUUACUCACACUUAUUUGUUGAAGAAACCAGACUCUUUGUCCUACAAAAUCGCCACAUUUCGGAUAUAGUUGGGUAUAUGCUCAUUGCACCAUUUUACAUGACCACAAUGCAUUAUUUUUAAUUAGAGUAGGCCUUAAAAAAAAAAUGGAGUACAGUUGAAUUACAACGUUGUGUUAGUUUCAGGUAUACAGCAAAGUGUUUCACUUGCUGCUGCUGCUGCUGCUAAGUCGAUUCAGUCGUGUCCGACUCUGUGGGACCCCGUAGGCGGAAGCCCACCAGGCUCCCUCACCCCUGGGAUUCUCCAGGCAAGAAUACUGGAGUGGGUUGCCAUUUCCUUCUCCAAUGCAUGAAAGUGAAAAGUGAAAAGGAAGUCGCUCAGUCGUGUCCGACUCUUAGCAACCCCAUGGACUGCAGCCUACCAGGCUCCUCCAUCCAUGGGAUUUUCCAGGCAAGAGUACUGGAGUGGGGUGCCAUUGCCUUCUCCGGUGUUUCAGUUAUAUAUAUACAUAUACACACACACUUUUUCAAGAUAGUGAAUAUGGUUCCCUGGUCUAUAUAGUAAGUCUUAUUGUUUAUCUGCUUUGUAUUUAGUGGUGUGUAGUGUGUAUCUAUUAAUCCCAAUCUCCUAAUUUAUCCCUCCCUACCCUUUCCCCUUUGAUAGCCAUGUUUGUUUUCUAAGCCCGUGAGUCUAUUUUUGUUUCGUAAAUAAAUUCCUUUGCAUAAUUUUUUUAAGAUUCCACCUUGAAGUGAUAUUGUAUGAUAUUUGUCUUUCUCCAUCUGACUUACUUCAGUAUGUUAAUAGUAUGAUAAUAUCUACAUCCAUCCAUGUUGCUGCAAAUGGCAUGAUUUCAUUCUGUUUUUAUAACUGAGUAAUAU
ensembl:lncRNA